UGAAAACAGACUUUCCUGGAUGUGACUGUGACAACGCCCCCUCAGGGUUGGGUGUGAAUCCUAUGCUGUCUGACUUGCUGAGUUCCGUCCAGCAUUUUGUUCAAAAUGCAGAUUGGCACAUCGACAAAGAGUGUCACCACAAGGAAGCAGCAGCCACCAUCCAGGCCACGCUCUCUUCUUUCUGCUGCCAUUGGGAAGGAGAUGCUGGGGCCUCAGGUCCCACGCUACCAGUUUCAGGAGCAGUUAUUACCCUUCAACCAUCAGGCUCCUGAACCAGCGUGGGCAUCUUCAAUCAGCACAGCACUGAAUAUAACCCCAUGGACUCACUUUCAAGUACUCUACAACUCUUGUUCUCAGAUUGAUUGAUUGAUUUGUUGGUUUAUUGAUCGAUUGAUUGAUUGAUUAUUACUACAUGCUUCUUUUUGAAUUUGCACAAUUUAUCAGUCAUUGAGACCUGAUGAAGGGUCUCGGCCUGAAACAUCAACUGUUUAUUCCUUUCCAUAGGUGCUGCUUGACCUGCUGAGUUCCUCCAACAUUUUGUAUGUGCUGUCAUUCUUUAUUUGUGUGCAGUUUUUCAUUGAUUCUAUUGUAAAUGCCUGCAAGAAAAUGAUUGUCGGGGUAGUAUUUGGUGACACAUACUUUAAUUAACUUCGAACUCUUUUUUGCACUACGCAUUAUUAUUUAUAUUUCUUAUUGUAAUUUGCAGUAAUAUUUUACGUAUUGCAUUGUACUGCUGCCACAGAACAACAAAAUUUAUGGCAUAUGUUAGCAAUCAUAAUCCUGAUCCUAAUUCUGCAAAUUGAGCAUAAACAGAAAUUGAUUUAUCAAUGAGCAAAUCUGAUGAGCUGAUCCAUAAUUUCUGACACUUGGGAAAGAGGAACGAUCAAUAUUUGAUCAUGAAGGCAUUGGGAAGUAUCUUUUGAAGAAAUACAUCACUGAUAGGUUGGUUUACUGUUGUCACACAUGCUAAAGUACAGUGAAAAACUUCGGUAUACAUGCCAUCCACACAGAAGUUUGAUUACAACAGUGCAUUGAGGAAGCACUGGGGAAAACAAUAACAGAAUGCAAAUUGAAGUGUGUUAUAGUUACAGGAAAAGUGCAGGCAGACAAUAAGAUUGAGGUUAUAGCGAGGUGAUUUGUAAGGUUAGGAGUCUGCCGAAUCAUACCAGGGGAUCAUUCAAUAGUCUUAAAGCAGCGGAGUAGAAGUUGUCCUUGAGUCUGGUGGUGCAUGCCUUCAGGUUUUUAUAUCUUUGGCUUGAUGGGGUAGUGGGGGAGGAAGAGAGAAUCUCCAGGUUGGGUGGGGUCUUUGAUUAUGCUGACUGCUUUACUGAGGCAGCGAGGAGUGUAAACAGAGCCCAUGGAGGAGAGGCUGGUUUCUGUGAUGUGCUGAACCGUGUCCACAACUCUCCGCGAUUCCUUGCAGUCAUGGGCAGAGCUGCGGUUCCCCUAAACUAUGAUGCAUCUGCAGUGGAUACCAUAGGGGAACAAUGGGCAUCUGUUCCAUGCCAUACAACAGAUGCCACGUUUCCCUUUGGUAUCGAUGGUCCACGGUACCUGUAAUAUCUCUUCCAACGGAAAGUCGGGAUAUCAGAGCAGAUCCUUCCAGCAACACUGCAGUUUGAAAGAUAAAGUAUCUCAAAGUUUGCCAGGUUUCAACCGAUCUCCUCACUGCAGGGGUCAGACCUGCUUUUUUCCUUCACUGCUAUGAUACUGUCAGAAUCAGAAUCCGCUUUACCAUCACUGGGAUAUGCUGCAAAAUGUGUUGCUCUAUGGCAGCAACACAGUGCAAUAUAAAAUAAUUAAGAACUAUAAAUUACAGCAAGUAUAUAUUACAAAAAGAAAAUUAAAAUAUGCCACCAUAUGCAACCCAGAGAUUUAUUUUCUUGCAGGCAUGCUCAGUAAAUCCAUAAUAGAACCAAUGAAAGACCACUCCAAUAUGUGUUCAAUCUGUGUAAAAAUAGACAACAAACUGUGCAAAUACAAAAAGAAAUAAAUAAUAAUAAUAAUAAUAAAUAAAUAAGCAAUAAGUAUCAAAAACAUGAGACGAAGAGUACUUGACAGUGACUCCAUAGGUUGUGGGAUUAUUUCAAUGAUGGGGCAAGUGAAGUUAAGUGAAGUUAUCCCCUUUGGUUCAAGAGCCUGAUGGUUGAGGGGGGAUAACUGUUCCUGAACCUGGUGAGUCCUGAGACUCCUGUACCUUCUUUCUGAUGCCUUCUGUGAGAAGAGGGCAUGUCCUGAGUGGCAUCUUCACGUAGAGUGCUCAAUGGUGGGGAGUGCUUUCCCCCAGAUGGACUGAGCCGUAUCCACUACUUUUUGCAGAAUUUUCCCUGAUGGUGGCAAAGUGAAGUGGGCGCGUCCUGGGUGAUAGGGGUCCUCAAUGACGGAUGCCACCUUUUCUGAGGCAUCACCUUUUGAAGGUGUCCUCGAUGCUGGGGAGGCCAGUGCCCCUGAUGGAGCUGGCUGAGUUUACAUCUUUCUGCAGUGGCCCCUCCAUUCCAGACAGUGAUGCAACCAGUCAGAUUGCUUUCCACGGUACAUCCGUAGAAAUUGAUCAGAGAGACCGACGAAUGGGUCACAAAAAAUGGAGAGUGGCCUAACCCAAAGUCCGAGCCGCAGAGACAACUUAAUUGUGAGGGAUAACUUUAAUAACAAACAGCCAAAGAGCGAGCCAUGAAGAGUCAUAGAACAAGAGAGAUAGGAUACUAUACACAACAAGGCAACAAGGUUAGGGGCAACUUGUUGAGGCUGGCUGGUUUGAUGAGUGAACAAGGAUUGGGAAUGAGAGCUAGGUUUAAAUAGGCUGCAGGUGAUGCGUUAGAAACGACUGACAGGUGAUUCCUAUUAGAUGGAUGGCAACUGGGAGAAGCCUGACAUAAUGUCAGUGAUAUGGAGGUUUUGGACAAGUUGGUUCCUUCUAAUCAGUGCAGAGAGACUGAGUGAAGGUUUAUUGAGAGUCAUAGCGAAACAGGCCCAUCAGCCCUCUGAGACAAUGCUGACCAUCAAUCAUCCCUUUACACUGAUAUUCUGUUAAUCACACUCCUUAAUGGUGAGUGAGUUGUGGGCAUGCUAUGUUGGCAUCAGAAGAAGCAUGGCCUAUAAAAGUGGCAAGGAAAAAAAAUAAGUUCUGACUUUUAAAAGCAAAUUUGAAAAUAUGCAAAUAGGAGAGACCUGCAGGGUCAUGGGCCCCAAGUCUGCGAAUCUCUGCAAAAACAUUGGGGAAGCUGGUGCCCAGUGUCUGAGACUCCAUGCAUCCACUGGGGGCUGGAGGCUGAAGAUGGCCUGUCCUGGGGUUGGAGGAGUGUGUGGAUGGAAAGGAGGGAGUAACGGGGUUUGUUUUGCUGUUGGUGCUUGGGAUGUUCUCUGUUGUUCUGCCGAACAUUGUGGACAAGCUAUGUUGACACCAGAAUAUGUGGCCACACUUACAGGCUGCCCCCAGCAUAUCCUUGGGUGUAUUGGUUGUUAAUGCACAUGACACGUUUCACUGUAUGUUUUGAUGGGCAUGUGAUGAAUAAACCUGAAUCUGAAUCUCAGUGAGAAGAGAGUGGGACUGAUUGAUUAUUUGGUAAGUAUAUAAUAAGCCAAAGAAUCUCUUUCUGAAGGAUGAGGAACAGCUUCUUCCCCCAGGCCGUGAGACCACUGAACUCCCUGCCACUGCCCAGGUCUCAUCACGUAUGAAGCACCAGUAGCAUUUU